rnacentral:rRNA from 1 species
CGCCUGUUUAACAAAAACAUGUCUUUUUGAUUUUUUUUUAAAGUCUGACCUGCCCACUGAAAUUUUUUAAAUGGCCGCAGUAUACUAACUGUGCAAAGGUAGCAUAAUCAUUAGUCUUUUAAUUGAAGGCUGGUAUGAAUGGUUGGACGAGAUAUUAACUGUUUCAUGAAAAUUUAUAAUAGAAUUUUAUUUUUUAGUCAAAAAGCUAAAAUUUAUUUAAAAGACGACAAGACCCUAUAAAUCUUUAUAUUUAUAUUAUUAUAAUUUUGUAGAUUCUUUUUAUUAUAAUAAUAGAUUAUAUUUUAUUGGGGUGAUAUUAAAAUUUAAUAAACUUUUAAUUUUUUAAAUCAUUAAUUUAUGAAUAAUUGAUCCGUUAUUAGCGAUUAAAAAAACAAGUUACUUUAGGGAUAACAGCGUAAUUUUUUUGGAGAGUUCAUAUCGAUAAAAAAGAUUGCGACCUCGAUGUUGGAUUAAGAUAUAAUUUUAGGUGUAGCCGCUUAAAUUUUAAGUCUGUCCGACUUUUAAAUUCUUACGUGAUCUGAGUUCAGACCGG